AACGAACGCUGGCGGCAUGCCUAACACAUGCGAGUCGAACGAGACCUUCGGGUCUAGUGGCGCACGGGUGCGUAACGCGUGGGAACCUGCCCUUAGGUUCGGAAUAACUCCCCGAAAGGGGUGCUAAUACCGGAUAAUGUCUUCGGACCAAAGAUUUAUCGCCUUUGGAUGGGCCCGCGUUGGAUUAGCUAGUUGGUAGGGUAAAAGCCUACCAAGGCGACGAUCCAUAGCUGGUCUGAGAGGAUGAUCAGCCACACUGGGACUGAGACACGGCCCAGACUCCUACGGGAGGCAGCAGUGGGGAAUAUUGGACAAUGGGCGAAAGCCUGAUCCAGCAACGCCGCGUGAGUGAUGAAGGCCUUAGGGUUGUAAAGCUCUUUUACCCGGGAUGAUAAUGACAGUACCGGGAGAAUAAGCUCCGGCUAACUCCGUG
rnacentral:rRNA from 1 species